CGAGGGGACUUGUCCCCGUUGGACUGCGCAGCAGUCCCGAUUUUGGGGUCGCUUCGCAACCCAACGGGGACAAGUCCCCUCG
rnacentral:antisense_RNA from 2 species